rnacentral:rRNA from 1 species
AUUGAACGCUGGCGGCAGGCCUAACACAUGCAAGUCGGGCGAGUGGCGGACGGGUGAGUAAUGUAUGGGAAUCUGCCUGAUAGUGGGGGAUAACUACUGGAAACGGUCGCUAAUACCGCAUACUAUCAGAUGAGCCUAUGUGGGAUGAGCUAGUAGGUGGGGUAAAGGCCCACCAAGGCGACGAUCCUUAGCUGGUCUGAGAGGAUGAUCAGCCACAUGGGAACUGAGACACGGCCCAGACUCCUACGGGAGGCAGCAGUGGGGAAUAUUGCACAAUGGGCGCAAGCCUGAUGCAGCCAUGCCGCGUGUAUGAAGAAGGCCUUCGGGUUGUAAAGUACUUUCAGUGGGGAGGCGUUACCGACAGAAGAAGCACCGGCUAACUCCGUGCCAGCAGCCGCGGUAAUUC